rnacentral:rRNA from 1 species
UACGUAGGGUGCGAGCGUUAAUCGGAAUUACUGGGCGUAAAGUGUGCGCAGGCGGCGGAGCAAGUCGAGUGUGAAAGCCCCGGGCUUAACUUGGGAACUGCGCUCGAAACUACUUUGCUGGAGUGUGGCAGAGGAAGGUGGAAUUCCAGGUGUAGCGGUGAAAUGCGUAGAGAUCUGGAGGAACACCUGUGGCGAAGGCGGCCACCUGGGCCGACCCUGACGCUGAGGCGCGAAGGCGUGGGGAGCGAACGGG